rnacentral:rRNA from 1 species
UACGUAGGGUGCGAGCGUUAAUCGAAAUUACUGGGCGUAAAGCGUGCGCAGGCGGCGCGUUAAGACAGGUGUGAAAGCCCCGAGCUUAACUUGGGAAUUGCGCUUGUGACUGGCGUGCUGGAGUGUGGCAGAGGGAGGUGGAAUUCCACGUGUAGCAGUGAAAUGCGUAGAGAUGUGGAGGAACACCGAUGGCGAAGGCAGCCUCCUGGGCCAGCACUGACGCUCAUGCACGAAAGCGUGGGGAGCAAACAGG